GACGAACCGAGCGAACGUUGUUCGGAAUCACUGGGCUUAAAGGGCGCGUAGGCGGGUGCUCAAGUCCGGGGUGAAAUCCUCCAGCUCAACUGGAGAACUGCCUCGGAUACUGGGUGCCUCGAGGGUGGUAGGGGUAUGCGGAACUAUCGGUGGAGCGGUGAAAUGCGUUGAUAUCGAUAGGAACUCCGGUGGCGAAGGCGGCAUACUGGACCACUUCUGACGCUGAGGCGCGAAAGCCAGGGGAGCAAACGGGG
rnacentral:rRNA from 1 species